UACGUAGGGUGCAAGCGUUAUCCGGAGUUAUUGGGCGUAAAGAGCUCGUAGGCGGUUUGUCGCGUCUGCCGUGAAAGUCCGGGGCUCAACUCCGGAUCUGCGGUGGGUACGGGCAGACUAGAGUGCAGUAGGGGAGACUGGAAUUCCUGGUGUAGCGGUGAAAUGCGCAGAUAUCAGGAGGAACACCGAUGGCGAAGGCAGGUCUCUGGGCUGGUAACUGACGCUGGAGGAGCGAAAGCAUGGGGAGCGAACAGG
rnacentral:rRNA from 1 species